UACGAAGGGGGCUAGCGUUGCUCGGAAUUACUGGGCGUAAAGAGCGCGCAGGCGGUCGUUCAAGUCGCGUGUGAAAGCCCCCGGCUCAACUGGGGAGGGUCACGCGAUACUGAUCGACUCGAAGGCAGGAGAGGGAAGUGGAAUUCCCGGUGUAGUGGUGAAAUGCGUAGAUAUCGGGAGGAACACCAGUGGCGAAGGCGACUUCCUGGCCUGUUCUUGACGCUGAGGCGCGAAAGCUAGGGGAGCAAACGGG
rnacentral:rRNA from 1 species